UCCCGGCGGUCCAAGUCGCAUCCACAAUUAUUGGGUCUAAAACAUCCGUAGCUUGUUUUGUAAGUCUCUUGUCAAAUCUGAUAUCUCAAGUAUCAGGCGUGCAAGAGAUACUGCAUUACUCGAGACCGGAAGACGCAAAGAGUAUGAUUGAGGUAGUGGUAAAAUAUGUUAAUCUUGAUCAGACUAACAAUGGCGAAGGCACUUUGCGAGUACGGAUCUGACAGUGAGGGAUGAAGGCUAGGGGCGCAAAAGG
rnacentral:rRNA from 1 species